AAAAAGCAAUACUGCGAUUGCUUCCGAACCCAUCCUUGAUUCGUGACAGAACGAACGACCUUCUAUUAGAAGCAGCAGUUCGCCAGGAUGGACGACUGGGGCGUCAGGAUGCUACCGAUGUUAGUGGAGUACUUCACCACGCUACGCCAAGAGGCGGAGAAUUACCAAACUGCGCUACGAAAGCAGCAAGUCGCCAAGAAUUACCUGGCCUUCAACUCACCUCCCAUGUUCACAAGGGACCACGCCACGCCAACAGGAGGAGGAGUCCGGGUACAAAGGGGAGUCUGUGGACGGGGCUAAAACCAUCUCCCACCCCCCUCCCCUAUUAUGGGUUUAGGUCAGCAAGAAGAGUCAGCGGGGAACGAAAGUCAGCCUCCCUGCUCGUCUGAGGAUGCCGCUCGGUAGCCUGAGGAUGUGCUGGAAGGCUCAUUGGAUGUGCCCUCUGUCCUCAAGGUAUGUAUUGGUUAGAAAUAAUUUAACUAAAUUUGUAACCUUUAGGCUGCUUCUCUCUAAGUGUGUGUGUUAAGGUUGUUGAACCAAAUCUGCAGCUGCUGCCCACUGAACAUCAAAAAGAACCUUCAGUUGUUCUGUCAGUGGACAUCAGGAGAGACUUUCUCGGAAUGAUAAGGGGGUCCAGAGACUCGGCUCUUCUGGUGUGACCCCACAGAGACGCAAAGCCUGAAUCACGAGGUAAUCAGUCUUUAUUACUCUGAGGAGACUUCUAAUUAAUGACUGUUAGAUGAACACUCCUAUGAAAUGCAGUUGUGGAGUUUCAGCUAAUUGUUGUUUGCAGGGAUUCUCUUAUUAUACCAACACUGAGGACUGUUUACAAGUACACAGUUAAGGGAUUAUUUGUUGUGGCCUCAAAUGUUUAACUUGCUGUAACUAAUUGUGAUUGUGUAUCGGUCAUUGAGCCAAACUUGUAGCUGCUGCCCACUGAACCUCACCAUGACCCUUCAUCUGUCGUUCUGGUAACCAAAGCUUUCAUUUAUUUACUAAAGCCAAUUACAAAAUUUUCCAAAGCUCUGCUGUGUAGAAAGUGACAGAAUGUUAGAUGUGUUAGUAUGAAACUGCUAUGAUAUGAAGCACUUAUGAUCUGUGGUCUAUUUUACACAGCCUCUCAGUGCUGGUGAGAUGAGCAGCACCUGUUGUAAUGGUCAUUUCCUCUGUGCAGACUGCUUCAGCUUCCAGUCUGGGGUAUUCUACAGUGCUGCAGCUGAGAUGCUUGUAAUCUUUUCUUUACAAGCUUUGUCUUUUGUUUUUUCAAUUUCUAGUCAGUGAACAUUAGGAGGUACUUCCUUGGUAUGAUAUAGGGUCUAGAGAGUUGGCUCUGCUGGUUUAAAACCACUAAGACAUGCUGGUUGAACCAUGAGGUAACCAGUCUUUAUUACGCUGAUGAGAACUGACAAUGAUUAUUAGUGGAGUAUUUAUGUGAAAUAAAUGAGUUUCAGCUAAUUGUCAUCUGCAGGAAUUCCCUUAUACCAAAACUGAGGACUGUUUCUCUGGCAUACAGGUAAGAGAUUUGUUGUAGUCUCACAAAACCUUUGUUAAUUGAAGUGACUUUGUUCACUUUAAAUUGUUCUCUUGGGUGUGUAUCUGGGGGAGUUACAGAAGUCAUUUCCUGUAAUGGCAUGGAGACUGUCACCAUGCCACUUGAGGACUAUGUGGUAAACUUGGUACACUGUCAUGAUGUGUAUAUGUAGAUUUUUGGAAUUUGUUCUGUUCAUCUGUCUGCAGUGUCAGUUUGUCUUUUUUUUAAAUAACAGCAACCCUUGAAAAAGGUGACCUGCACUUGCCUGUAUGUGCAACCAGAUGGUUAGGUGGACACUUCCACUUUGGGUGCAGGAAAAUGGUUGUAACUCUCACUAUAGUGAUGCAGAGAAUAAACCACACUUGAAGGUAAUUGUAUGUUUCAGACCUGAUGUGCAUCUAUGCUGCUAUAUCCCUGAAUGUAUGGCUGGAAAGUUGAUGGAGUUUUAAUGAUUUAUUGCUAAUUUGGCUCACAGGAGACUGAGGAGAGCCUUAUGCCAGAGGAGAUGGAGGUGCCCUUUAAGUACUGUACAAGUCUCAAGUUUCAUGGUGUAAUGUAUGUUUUUAACAUGCACUAAGCAUUUACACCUUGUUUCUUAGCUACCAUCUUUCAAAUUGGACUGAAGCUGUGUGCGCUCCAUCAAGUGUUCUCUGUGAGUAAAACCUUUUGCUUAGCUGCUGUUACUCAGGUACCUUAUACCCUGCUUUAACUUAUGUGCUGCCUUAUAUUCAGACUCUGCUUGCCAGCAUCCACAACCAGAACUUAUUGUUUAUGGUUGAGAAGAUUGAUUUUUGUAACUUUUCUCCUCUGUGAAGCUCCAUUACAACUUCCUCGACAUGUGUUAUGAGCUGCUUCUUUGGCUAUUUCAUGAAUGGCUCAACACCUGAGGCAGUAAGUAUCUUAUUAGGAGAUUUAAAAGUGAUGCUUGAAUGUAGUUACAGAACUAUUCUCAUUGUUUUCCCAUAGUUUUAACCUUGAUAUUCCUAAAGUUUGAGGGAGGAUUCUUGGAGAGCCUCUUUGCACUUAUCAGCAUGUGGGAGCCUGUGGCAGAGCUGUACUUCAUGGUGCUUAUUGUAUCAAAUAUCUUCUAAUGCCAUGAUAAACAAAUUCUCAGCAUUUUAUCUUUAACUCAGUGUGUGUGUGGUACCAUUUUCUCAGCCCCUGGAGCUCUACAGUGACCCAAUGGACUUAUCCAGUGCAGUUUCACAGCUACUCUGGCAGGCAGCAUGUCCAGCUGAUGGACACUUUUUGUUGAAGCUCUGAGCAAUGCCACCCUUAACUCCAUUCCCCUUAGACACCAACAUUUUGCAAACAAUUACAAUUCUUUAAUUUAUUCAUGAAUGCCACAUCAUACUUUUAACCCUUUAUACCCUUGGCAUCCAUUUUAAUAGGAACAUUUGUACACCAGCUCGUUUAUGCAGUUAUCCUAUCAGACAAUCAUGUGACAGCAGCACAAUGUUUAAAAUCAUGUUAAAGUGGAUGGUGAGUAAGUUCCACUUAAUGUGGAACUUUCAAAAGAAAAGUUUGUUCCCUUUUCAGCCUUUGUUACAUUUCAUAUUUUCCAUCACUACAUUGUUCAAGCUCUCCACAGAAGUAUACAUUCAUUUGUUAUUUCAAUUAACACAUUUAAUCAAAAAUCUCUCAUCUUCAUUAACAGGUCUGCACAACAAGCCCAGGACUUGAGGACCAAAAGCGUGUAAUCAUUUGUAACCUGUGUAGCAUUUUGACAAAUUUCCAUCAUAACUAAUUGCUUUAUAACUGGAUUUCCAGGUUUAGUGUAAAUGUCUGUAACUGCCUUUCAUCCAAUAUAAUUUCUAUCAUUCUCAUCCCUGAAAAUUCAUCCCUCUAUGAAUCUGCCCCAAUCAUCCCUCUAUGUGAAGCUUAAAGAUUAUAUCCUGAAUAAAUCACAGCUAUAAAUAGGAUUAACUUUUGUUAUAGUGCUAAUAUAUUUUAAGGUUUAAUAAAUUUUACUCCUGUUGCAGCCUCAUUCUCACUUUUCAUUUUCUAUUCAAGUUCUGAAAUCCUAAUUGAAGAGGACCAAAAAUCUGAGAUGUCACCAUUUUACAUGUAUUAGGGAAUUUGUUUACAUGGAAUAGUCGUCAAGCCUUGUCAAGUGGCUUAUGGUCAUUCCUCUAUAGAGCUAGUAAACAUCAGAACAAAAUGUCAUUUCUCCAGGACCAUAGACAGUACACAAGACUACAUAAAGUGCAAAUACACAGAGUGCAGGACAAUACACACACCAGAACAGUAGGUACACAGGACAGUAAAUACACAGAACAUGAGCUGUAAGCCACUUUGUAGUGUAGCAGCAGUGAGUACAUUGCCGCAUAUUGGCAGCAAAAAAUAUUCUAUAAUAAAGUGACUGAAGCAGUUUCUAAGGUACCGGUGUGCUGUGUUUUGUAUUGAUAAAUGCAGAAAUUGCAUAUUUAUAUUACAGAAUGUAUA